ACAGAAAAACAAUGGUGAACGAAGAAAUUAUUACAACGUGUCCAAAAUCGUGUAGGAAGAGUGAACAAGCAUGAAGAAAUACAAUUGGAGGACAAAAGGGUGUGAUCUGCUGGUACUAAACUGGGAGGAACCUAGCGAGGUUGUAUAUCCUGAUUUUUCUCUACGUCCCUGUGUCUUCAGAGGAAUCUAAAACAUUCCUGGAAAUGGAGAGUCCUGAGAUGAUGGAGCUCAUAAUGAAAAGAGCUCAGAUUCCUGAGUCACCACGGGGACACGAGGCACCAGGGAGAAAACACAUACACCUUAAUAAGUUUGGGGUGAGAGAGAAAUAAACUUUAAGUAUGUUAAGCUUCUGUGAUUAC